ACGCCGCGUGCAGGACGAANGUCCUUCGGGAUGUAAACUGUGUCAGGGACUACCAAGCAAUCAGGGCAAAUAGUCCUGUGCGCUGAGGAAUCCCAGAAAGGAAGCCACGGCUAAACUUCGUGCCAAGCAGCCAGCGGUAAGAAACGAAAGGUGGCGAGCGUUGUUCGAAUCACUGGGCUUAAAGAGCACGUAGGCGGGCGGUCAAGCGUCUUGUGAAAUCCCUCGGCUUACCGGGGAACUGCUUGGCGAACUGAUCGUCUUGAGGCAGGUAGGGGCAAGCGGAACUCUUGGUGGAGCGGUGGAAUGCGUAGAUAUCAAGAGGAACGCCAGAGGCGAAGGCGGCUUGCUGGGCCUGUCCUGACGCUGAGGUGCGAAAGCCAGGGUAGCGAACGGGAUUAGAUACCCCGGUAGUCCUGGCCCUAAACGAUGUCCACUAGGUCGAAGACACUCUGACGUGUUUUCGGCCGAAAUGAAAACGGUAAGUGGACCGCCUGGGGAGUACGGUCGCAAGGCUAAAACUCAAAGGAAUUGACGGGGGCUCACACAAGCGGUGGAGCAUGUUGCUUAAUUCGAUGCAACGCGAAGAACCUUAUCCUGGGCUUGACAUGCAGGGAUACCUUCCUGGAAACAGGUCGGGUUGCCCUUCGGGGUGAAACCUGUGCAGGUGCUGCAUGGCUGUCGUCAGCUCGUGUCGUGAGAUGUUGGGUUAAGUCCCGUAACGAGCGAAACCCUUGUCGUUAGUUGCCAGCGGGUAAUGCCGGGGACUCUAGCGAGACUGCCGGUGUCAAACCGGAGGAAGGUGGGGAUGACGUCAAGUCCUCAUGGCCUUUAUGCCCAGGGCUGCAAACGUGCUACAAUGGCUGGGACAAAACGACGCGAAGCCGCAAGGUGGAGCAAAUCGUAAAAAACCAGCCUCAGUUCGGAUUGGAGUCUGCAGCUCGACUCCAUGAAGUUGGAAUCGCUAGUAAUCGCGUAUCAGCAUGACGCGGUGAAUGUGUUCCUGAGCACUUGUACACACCGCCCGUCAAGUCAUGGAAGC
rnacentral:rRNA from 1 species